rnacentral:tRNA from 1 species
GGGCAAAUGGUCUAGGGGUAUGAUUUUCGCUUCGCAUGUGAAAGGUCCGGGGUUCAAAUCCCCGUUUGGUAA